rnacentral:rRNA from 1 species
UACGUAGGGUGCAAGCGUUUAAUCGGAAUUACUGGGCGUAAAGCGUGCGCAGGCGGUUUUGUAAGUUUGUCGUGAAAGCCCCGGGCUCAACCUGGGAAUUGCGAUGAAGACUGCAAGGCUUGAAUCUGGCAGAGGGGGGUAGAAUUCCACGUGUAGCAGUGAAAUGCGUAGAGAUGUGGAGGAACGCCGAUGGCGAAGGCAGCCCCCUGGGUCAAGAUUGACGCUCAUGCACGAAAGCGUGGGGAGCAAACAGG